CCUACGGGAGGCAGCAGUGGGGAAUCUUGCGCAAUGCGCGAAAGCGUGACGCAGCAACGCCGCGUGAGGGAAGACGGCCUUCGGGUUGUAAACCUCUUUCAGGAGGGACGAAGGUCCGCCCGCGAAUAGCGAGGUGGAUUGACGGUACCUGCAGAAGAAGCACCGGCUAACUUCGUGCCAGCAGCCGCGGUAAU
rnacentral:rRNA from 1 species